rnacentral:rRNA from 1 species
CCUGACUGCUAUCGGAUUGAUACUACCCUUUGCUAGUCUUUGUAGUAAUACAAGGCAUACGGCUCAGUAACGCGUAGUCAACCUACCCUAUGGACGGGGAUAAUCUCGGGAAACUGAGCAUAAUACCCGGCAGACCACUUCUCCUGGAAUGGUUAGUGGUUAAAAUGAUUCGUCGCCAUAGGAUGGGACUGCGGCCUAUCAGCUUGUUGGUGAGGUAAUGGCCCACCAAGGCGAUUACAGGUACGGGCUCUGAGAGGAGAGGCCCGGAGAUGGGUACUGAGACAAGGACCCAGGCCCUAUGGGGCGCAGCAGGCGAGAAAACUUUGCAAUGUGCGAAAGCACGACAAGGUUAAUCCGAGUGAUUUCUGCUAAAGGAAUCUUUUGUUAGUUCUAAAAAUACUAGUGAAUAAGGGGUGGGCAAGUUCUGGUGUCAGCCGCCGCGGUAAAACCAGCACCUCAAGUGGUCAGGAGGAUUAUUGGGCCUAAAGCAUCCGUAGCCUGUUCUAUAAGUUUGCGGUUAAAUCUAUACGCUCAACGUAUAGGCUGCCGUAAAUACUGUAGAACUAGGGAGUGGGAGAGGUAGACGGUACUCGAUAGGAAGGGGUAAAAUCCUUUGAUCUAUUGACGACCACCUGUGGCGAAGGCGGUCUACCAGAACACGUUCGACGGUGAGGGAUGAAAGCUGGGGGAGCAAACCGGAUUAGAUACCCGGGUAGUCCCAGCUGUAAACGAUGCAGACUCGAUGAUGCAAUGGCAUAGAGCUAUUGCAGUAUCGCAGGGAAGCCGUUAAGUCUGCCGCCUGGGAAGUACGUACGCAAGUAUGAAACUUAAAGGAAUUGGCGGGGGAGCACCACAAGGGGUGAAGCCUGCGGUUC